GGGUUGUGAGGUUAAGCGACUAAGCGUACACGGUGGAUGCCCUGGCAGUCAGAGGCGAUGAAGGACGUGCUAAUCUGCGAAAAGCGUCGGUAAGGUGAUAUGAACCGUUACAGCCGGCGAUGUCCGAAUGGGGAAACCCAGUGUGAUUCGUCACACUAUCGUUAACUGAAUACAUAGGUUAACGAGGCGAACCGGGGGAACUGAAACAUCUAAGUACCCCGAGGAAAAGAAAUCAACCGAGAUUCCCCCAGUAGCGGCGAGCGAACGGGGAGCAGCCCAGAGUCUGAAUCAGCUUGUGUGUUAGUGGAACGGUCUGGAAAGUCCGACGGUACAGGGUGAUAGUCCCGUACACCAAAAUGCACAGGCUGUGAACUCGAAGAGUAGGGCGGGACACGUGGUAUCCUGUCUGAAUAUGGGGGGACCAUCCUCCAAGGCUAAAUACUCCUGACUGACCGAUAGUGAACCAGUACCGUGAGGGAAAGGCGAAAAGAACCCCGGCGAGGGGAGUGAAAAAGAACCUGAAACCGUGUACGUACAAGCAGUGGGAGCACCUUCGGGUGUGACUGCGUACCUUUUGUAUAAUGGGUCAGCGACUUAUAUUCUGUAGCAAGGUUAACCGUAUAGGGGAGCCGCAGGGAAACCGAGUCUUAACUGGGCGUUAAGUUGCAGGGUAUAGACCCGAAACCCGGUGAUCUAGCCAUGGGCAGGUUGAAGGUUGGGUAACACUAACUGGAGGACCGAACCGACUAAUGUUGAAAAAUUAGCGGAUGACUUGUGGCUGGGGGUGAAAGGCCAAUCAAACCGGGAGAUAGCUGGUUCUCCCCGAAAGCUAUUUAGGUAGCGCCUCGUGAAUUCAUCUUCGGGGGUAGAGCACUGUUUCGGCUAGGGGGUCAUCCCGACUUACCAACCCGAUGCAAACUACGAAUACCGAAGAAUGUUAUCACGGGAGACACACGGCGGGUGCUAACGUCCGUCGUGAAGAGGGAAACAACCCAGACCGCCAGCUAAGGUCCCAAAGUCACAGUUAAGUGGGAAACGAUGUGGGAAGGCACAGACAGCCAGGAUGUUGGCUUAGAAGCAGCCAUCAUUUAAAGAAAGCGUAAUAGCUCACUGGUCGAGUCGGCCUGCGCGGAAGAUGUAACGGGGCUAAACUGUGCACCGAAGCUGCGGCAGCGACACUAUGUGUUGUUGGGUAGGGGAGCGUUCUGUAAGCCUGCGAAGGUGGCCUGUGAGGGUUGCUGGAGGUAUCAGAAGUGCGAAUGCUGACAUAAGUAACGAUAAUGCGGGUGAAAAGCCCGCACGCCGGAAGACCAAGGGUUCCUGUCCAACGUUAAUCGGGGCAGGGUGAGUCGACCCCUAAGGCGAGGCCGAAAGGCGUAGUCGAUGGGAAACAGGUUAAUAUUCCUGUACUUGGUGUUACUGCGAAGGGGGGACGGAGAAGGCUAUGUUAGCCGGGCGACGGUUGUCCCGGUUUAAGCAUGUAGGCGGAGGUUCCAGGUAAAUCCGGUACCUUUUUAACGCUGAGGUGUGAUGACGAGGCACUACGGUGCUGAAGUAACAAAUGCCCUGCUUCCAGGAAAAGCCUCUAAGCAUCAGGUAACAUUAAAUCGUACCCCAAACCGACACAGGUGGUCAGGUAGAGAAUACCAAGGCGCUUGAGAGAACUCGGGUGAAGGAACUAGGCAAAAUGGUGCCGUAACUUCGGGAGAAGGCACGCUGAUAUGUAGGUGAAGCCCCUGCGGGUGGAGCUGAAAUCAGUCGAAGAUACCAGCUGGCUGCAACUGUUUAUUAAAAACACAGCACUGUGCAAACACGAAAGUGGACGUAUACGGUGUGACGCCUGCCCGGUGCCGGAAGGUUAAUUGAUGGGGUUAUCCGUAAGGAGAAGCUCUUGAUCGAAGCCCCGGUAAACGGCGGCCGUAACUAUAACGGUCCUAAGGUAGCGAAAUUCCUUGUCGGGUUAGUUCCGACCUGCACGAAUGGCGUAAUGAUGGCCAGGCUGUCUCCACCCGAGACUCAGUGAAAUUGAACUCGCUGUGAAGAUGCAGUGUACCCGCGGCAAGACGGAAAGACCCCGUGAACCUUUACUAUAGCUUGACACUGAACAUUGAGCCUUGAUGUGUAGGAUAGGUGGGAGGCUUUGAAGCGUGGACGCCAGUCUGCGUGGAGCCAACCUUGAAAUACCACCCUUUAAUGUUUGAUGUUCUAACGUUGGCCCCUUAUCGGGGUUGCGGACAGUGUCUGGUGGGUAGUUUGACUGGGGCGGUCUCCUCCCAAAGAGUAACGGAGGAGCACGAAGGUUAGCUAAUCCUGGUCGGACAUCAGGAGGUUAGUGCAAUGGCAUAAGCUAGCUUGACUGCGAGCGUGACGGCGCGAGCAGGUGCGAAAGCAGGUCAUAGUGAUCCGGUGGUUCUGAAUGGAAGGGCCAUCGCUCAACGGAUAAAAGGUACUCCGGGGAUAACAGGCUGAUACCGCCCAAGAGUUCAUAUCGACGGCGGUGUUUGGCACCUCGAUGUCGGCUCAUCACAUCCUGGGGCUGAAGUAGGUCCCAAGGGUAUGGCUGUUCGCCAUUUAAAGUGGUACGCGAGCUGGGUUUAGAACGUCGUGAGACAGUUCGGUCCCUAUCUGCCGUGGGCGCUGGAGAAUUGAGGGGGGCUGCUCCUAGUACGAGAGGACCGGAGUGGACGCAUCACUGGUGUUCGGGUUGUCAUGCCAAUGGCAUUGCCCGGUAGCUAAAUGCGGAAGAGAUAAGUGCUGAAAGCAUCUAAGCACGAAACUUGCCCCGAGAUGAGUUCUCCCUGAGACUUUAAGUCUCCUGAAGGAACGUUAAAGACGAUGACGUUGAUAGGUCGGGUGUGUAAGCGUAGCGAUACGUUGAGCUAACCGAUACUAAUGAACCGUGAGGCUUAACCUUACAACGCCGAAG
rnacentral:rRNA from 1 species